rnacentral:rRNA from 1 species
CUGGGCGUAAGAGCAUGUAGGCGGGUAUUUAAGUCAGGAGUGAAAACUAUGGGCUCAACCCAUAGCCUGCUCUUGAAACUGGAUACCUUGAGGGUAUGAGAGGAAAGCGGAAUUCCCAGUGUAGCGGUGAAAUGCGUAGAUAUUGGGAGGAACACCAGUGGCGAAGGCGGCUUUCUGGCAUACAACUGACGCUGAGAUGCGAAAGCGUGGGGAGCGAACGGGAUUAGAUACCCCGGUAGUCCACGCCGUAAACGAUGGGUACUAGGUGUAGGAGGUAUCGACCCCUUCUGUGCCGUAGUUAACACAAUAAGUACCCCGCCUGGGGAGUACGGCCGCAAGGUUGAAACUCAAAGGAAUUGACGGGGGCCCGCACAAGCGGUGGAGCAUGUGGUUUAAUUCGACGCAACGCGAAGAACCUUACCAGGGCUUGACAUCCUCUGAUUGCUCAAGAGAUUGAGAGUUCAAGUGCUUGCAUUUGACAGAGAGACAGGUGGUGCAUGGUUGUCGUCAGCUCGUGUCGUGAGAUGUUGGGUUAAGUCCCGCAACGAGCGCAACCCUUAUCUUUAGUUGCCAGCAAUUCGGUUGGGCACUCUAGAGAGACUGCCGGUGACAAACCGGAGGAAGGUGGG